GUAGGUGGCGAGCGUUGUCCGGGAUUUACUGGGGCGUAAAGAGCGCGUAGGGCGGGCUCGGUAGGUCCCCUGUGAAAUCUCCCGGCUUAACCGGGAGGGGUCAGGGGAAACUGCCGGGCUGGAGGGGAGAAGAGGAGGGUGGAAUUCCCGGUGUAGCGGUGGAAUGCGUAGAUAUCGGGAGGAACACCAGUGGCGAAGGCGGCCCUCUAGGCUCUACCUGACGCUGAGGCGCGAAAGCGUGGGGAGCAAACCGGAUUAGAUACCCGGGUAGUCCACGCCGUAAACGAUGGGCGCUAGGUGUGGGAGGUAUCGACCCCUCCCGUGCCGCAGUUAACGCGAUAAGCGCCCCGCCUGGGGACUACGGCCGCAAGGCUA
rnacentral:rRNA from 1 species